rnacentral:rRNA from 1 species
GAUGAACGCUGGCGGCGUGCCUAAUACAUGCAAGUCGAGCGAACGGACGAGAAGCUUGCUUCUCUGAUGUUAGCGGCGGACGGGUGAGUAACACGUGGAUAACCUACCUAUAAGACUGGGAUAACUUCGGGAAACCGGAGCUAAUACCGGAUAAUAUUUUGAACCGCAUGGUUCAAAAGUGAAAGACGGUCUUGCUGUCACUUAUAGAUGGAUCCGCGCUGCAUUAGCUAGUUGGUAAGGUAACGGCUUACCAAGGCAACGAUGCAUAGCCGACCUGAGAGGGUGAUCGGCCACACUGGAACUGGGACACGGUCCAGACUCCUACGGGAGGCAGCAGUAGGGAAUCUUCCGCAAUGGGCGAAGGCCUGACGGAGCAACGCCGCGUGAGUGAUGAAGGUCUUCGGAUCGUAAAACUCUGUUAUUAGGGAAGAACAUAUGUGUAAGUAACUGUGCACAUCUUGACGGUACCUAAUCAGAAAGCCACGGCUAACUACGUG